rnacentral:rRNA from 1 species
UACAGAGGGUGCGAGCGUUAAUCGGAAUUACUGGGCGUAAAGCGUGCGUAGACGGUUAUCUAAGUCGGAUGUGAAAGCCCCGGGCUCAACCUGGGAAUUGCAUUCGAGACUGAAUAGCUAGGGUACGGUAGAGGGAAGCGGAAUUUCCGGUGUAGCGGUGAAAUGCGUAGAUAUCGGAAGGAACAUCAGUGGCGAAAGCGGCUUCCUGGACCAGUACCGACGUCAGGCACGAAAGCGUGGGGAGC